GAUGAAGAACGUAGCGAAAUGCGAUACGUAAUGUGAAUUGCAGAAUUCAGUGAAUCAUCGAAUCUUUGAACGCAUAUUGCGCUCUCUGGUAUUCCGGAGAGCAUGCUUGUUUGAGUAUCAGUAAACACCUCAACUUCCAUAUCUUUUUUGAAAUGGGAGUUGGACUUGAGUGAUCCCAACGCUUUUCCUCACCGAAAAGUGGCGGGUUACUUGAAAUGCAGGUGCAGCUGGACUUUUCUCUGAGCUAUAAGCAUAUCUAUUUAGUCUGCCUAAAACAGAUUAUUACCUUUGCUGCAGCUAACAUAAAGGAGAUUAGUUCUUGUGCUGACUGAUGCAGGAUUCACAAAGACGGCUUCGGCCGACUUUGUAAACUCGAUCUCAAAUCAAGUAAGACUACCCGCUGAACUUAAGCAUAUCAAUAAGCGGAGGA
rnacentral:misc_RNA from 1 species